UCUUUAAAAAAAAAGAAAAAAGAAAAUAAAAUCGGUUACUGUAAUAGAGACUAUCAAUGGUUCAGGGAACAACAUUAGCUAUGAUAACCAAUCUGAAUUAUAUUUCAGCUGGGACCAGUGUGGGUGAAGUUUGGAGCCAACUGCAAAGCAUUACAGGCAGGAGAGAGAACAAUUACAAAGACCCUGAAGUGGGAACAGCAUUGGAAUGCUUAAGGAACAGACUUCAAUGUGAUAAGAAUCUGCAUGAAAGAGAGCAAGAGGACCUUAAGAAAUGAGAUCAGAGAAUUAGGCAGGGAUGAAAUCAUAUGGAAUCUAAUGCCUGAACUCCUGGAGAGCCAGUGGGAUCUGCCUUUGUGGAAUCUGAAGCAAAGGAAGAAGUAGCAAAACCUAUUGAGGUCUCCUCUCCAUCUGUCUUCCUGUUUGUUGUCUUACAAACAACAUGACCAAACAUGAAUUGCAUCUCAAGAUGUGGUCCCCAGACCAGCAACAUCAGCAUCACCUGGGAACUUGUUAAACAAGCAAAUUCUCCGCCCCAACCCCCAGACCUACUGAAUCAGAAACUUGGAGGCGGGGCUCCAGGAUACUGUGUUUGACGGAGUCUUCCAGUUUCCUCUAUCGUCCAGACCUGCCUUUGUCCAAGCUCAACAUCCU